ACUCACCAACCCCCGGAACUUUCAAGGCACCUGUGCUUGCACAAAGGUGCCUUGAAAAGUUUCGGGGGUGCCUUAUUAUGAGCAUAAAAGGGCGACGAAGUCGCACGAUAUGCGAAUAAUAAGGACAGAUUGCGGGAGCGGGAAGCGCGUAGCAAUCUGAGGUGAGU
rfam:Eubacterium ventriosum ATCC 27560 Scfld0224 genomic scaffold, whole genome shotgun sequence.